GACGGGGGGGCAAGUGUUCUUCGGAAUGACUGGGCGUAAAGGGCACGUAGGCGGUGAAUCGGGUUGAAAGUGAAAGUCGCCAAAAAGUGGCGGAAUGCUCUCGAAACCAAUUCACUUGAGUGAGACAGAGGAGAGUGGAAUUUCGUGUGUAGGGGUGAAAUCCGUAGAUAUCCGGAGGAACACCAGUGGCGAAAGCGGCCACCUGGACUGUACCUGACGCUCAAACGCGAAAGCUAGGGGAGCGAACGGG
rnacentral:rRNA from 1 species